CAAAGCGGUAGUUUGGAAAUCCCAGAGCAGCGUCCGCAGCUCUUCCAGUCGAAUGUGAGUCGGGGCGCAGCCCCAAAACCUCUUUUUCUCCUUGUAGAUGCAGUAUGCGUUGAUUUACCAGGCGCCAAAAUGCCUAACUCGAACAGACUAACGCUUGCUGCCGAAUCCUAACUCUAAUCAAAACCCCUAACCCUGAUUUCUCCCGCCAACUCGCCCCCAAGCCCCAAGAAACGGGUGUCCAAACUUGGUCUUCAAGGACCACAGUCCUGCCCGUUUUUCAUCUCUCCCAGGAGCAACGCGCCUGAUUCAAAUAAUCAGGAUCGUUCAAAUGCUGGCUGAUGAGCUGAUCAUCUGAAUCCGGUGUGUUGCACCCGUCGGAGCUGGAAAACGGCAGAAAAGUGGCCCUCAAGCCCCGGAGUUGGACACGCCUACCCUCACACCCCAAUCCUCAUGCUCAACCAACACCUAACCUUGAACCUCAUCUCCACUCCCCCCAUAAGAGGAUGCCGCAGUUUCUUGUAUACUUACUUGUAACACGAACCCCACGCCAACUUCGAACACCCUUGACCUGUCUUCCUCUCAGUUUGCAGUGACAAGGUUUGACCAGCAGAGGGCAGCUAUCGCUGCUUGCUGUGCAGGGUCAAAGGGGCUCUCACAUUUUACAGUGAAUAACUCAAACUUCGACGCCUAAAUUCUGUAACACGAACCCCUGACCCUAUUCUUAAACCUAACCCCAAUCGCCAGACUCCCCAACACUCGUACGCCACCUUCAACAUUGACGUGAGUGGUAGAUUGAUAAUUGCUCGAUUUUCUUCCAAGUUCUCCUUGAACAGGGUUUCACCAUAAAGAACAAAUUCUCAGCAGCACAAGGUAAGUUGAUGUUCACUUGAUUCGAGUUACUUUGCAAAAAACAAACACGAUUUUUGUUGUGCCAGGUCCAAAGAGGACACGAUGGCUGAUCUCUGGAGGAUGAUUUGGGAGCAGGAGGUUGUUAUUCUGGCGCACCUGAAGGAAGUGAGUGGUUGUCAUGCAGCGAAACGGGGGGGAAAAACGGCGGCAUAAAAGGGACUUCUGACCCCCCCCAAUCCUCCCCAAAAUUUAAUUUGGGUCUCACCCUAAUUUUCUUCAGUUAAUCUAAAAUUCCUUGCCUUUGCAAGUGGCAAGAGAAAAAUGGAGGAAUAGUCAAAGCGAUGGUGGAGAAUGAACUUUCCAAGGGCUCUGAAGUUGCAAUUUGAAACAAAAUGAAAGAUGUCCAUUGCCAUGUAGGACGUGUGUGACAGUUGCUGUCACUGGCCGGAUCGGGGCUGCUGGACCUACGGGCACAUGCGCGUGGCAGUGGAGGACUCGGACGUGCUGGUGGAUUACACCAUACGCAAGUUCUACGUCCAACACAUCAGAAGCAUCGAAUGGCCCGUUCUGGGCAACGAUUUUCACUUCACACUUUGUUCAUCUCGUAGCAAUCGAAUGAUGCCGCGUGUGGUCACGCCGCUCCAUUUCACCAACUGGCCCAACUUCGGCGUGUCCUUCUCUCCCAUCGGCAUGCUCAAGUUCCAAGAAAGUCAAAGGCGCUCAAGCCGCCCGUCGCGCCCAUCGUGGUCCACUGCAGCGCUGACGUUGGUCAGACGGGCAGGUUCAUCGUGAUUGAUGGUAUGAUGGACAAGAUGCACGCUGGACACAAAGCGGUAGUUUGGAAAUCCGAGAGCAGCGUCUGCAGCUCUUCCAGACCGUGAUGCAGUAUUUGUUCAUCUACCAGGCGCCAAAAUGCAUAACUCUCACCGCCUUAACUGUAUUUGUGAUUUAAUGUGAACUGUUCUGUAAUCCCGAAUGCAUUAUCGCCUCACCCCAUCACCUGCCUAUCCUCUUGAACAAAAUCCCUUGAACCCUUACUCUGAAGGCCUAACCUCUAAUGCCUAUACAGAUAAUUACCUAACCUAAGAGGCCGAUCUGCUUUACCCUAAUUUCUAACUGCAAUCUCAAACCUCGAGCGCCAACCCUGAACAUCGUGCCCUCAACCAUAAAACCCUAACACUGUCAACCCCAUCUUUUAAUCCCUAAUCCUACCCCUCACCACUUUAACCAUAUUCCAAAUGCAAACUCUAAACCUCAACCUGAAUCCUAAAUUCCCUUGCACCCUCAGACCCAGGGGUGUCCGAACUCUGUC